GACGAACGCUGGCGGCGUGCCUAAUACAUGCAAGUAGAACGCAGUUGCGAACGGGUGAGUAACGCGUAGGUAACUGCCUCAUAGCGUGGGAUAACUAUUGGAAACGAUAGCUAAUACCGCAUACUGUGAGAUGGACCUGCGUUGUAUUAGCUAGUUGGUGAGGUAAAGGCGCACCAAGGCGACGUUACAUAGCCGACCUGGGAGGGUGAUCGGGCACACCGGGACUGGGGAACGGGCCAGACUCCUGAGGGAGGGAGCAGUAGGGAAUCUGCGGAAAUGGGCGGAAGUCUGGCCGAGCAACGGCGCGUGAGUGAAGAAGGUUUUCGGAUCGUAAAGCUCUGUUGUUAGAGAAGCGGUACCUAAACAGAAAGGGCCGGCUAACUACGUGCCAGCAGCCGCGGUAAUUC
rnacentral:rRNA from 1 species